rnacentral:rRNA from 1 species
CAGGCCUAACACAUGCAAGUCGAACGAAGGCUUCGGCCUUAGUGGCGCACGGGUGCGUAACGCGUGGGAAUCUGCCCAAAGGUACGGAAUAACUCUCCGAAAGGAGUGCUAAUACCGUAUGAUGUCGCAAGACCAAAGAUUUAUCGCCUUUGGAUGAGCCCGCGUAGGAUUAGCUUGUUGGUGGGGUAAAGGCCUACCAAGGCGACGAUCCUUAGCUGGUCUGAGAGGAUGAUCAGCCACACUGGGACUGAGACACGGCCCAGACUCCUACGGGAGGCAGCAGUGGGGAAUAUUGGACAAUGGGCGAAAGCCUGAUCCAGCAAUGCCGCGUGAGUGAUGAAGGCCUUAGGGUUGUAAAGCUCUUUUACCCGGGAAGAUAAUGACUGUACCGGGAGAAUAAGCUCCGGCUAACUCCGUGCCAGCAGCCGCGGUAAU